CAGUCGCCGCGGUAAUACGGAGGGUGCAAGCGUUAUCCGGAUUCACUGGGUUUAAAGGGUGCGUAGGCGGGCAGGUAAGUCAGUGGUGAAAUCUUCGAGCUUAACUCGGAAACUGCCGUUGAUACUAUCUGUCUUGAAUAACGUUGAGGUGAGCGGAAUAUGUCAUGUAGCGGUGAAAUGCUUAGAUAUGACAUAGAACACCGAUUGCGAAGGCAGCUCACUAAACGCUCAUUGACGCUGAGGCACGAAAGCGUGGGGAUCAAACAGGAUUAGAUACCCGCGUAGUCCCUGUCUCUUAUAC
rnacentral:rRNA from 1 species